rnacentral:rRNA from 1 species
GUGAGGAAUAUUGGUCAAUGGGCGGGAGCCUGAACCAGCCAAGUCGCGUGAAGGAAGAAGGAUCUAUGGUUCGUAAACUUCUUUUGCAGGGGAAUAAAGUGCAGGACGUGUCCUGUUUUGUAUGUACCCUGAGAAUAAGGAUCGGCUAACUCCGUGCCAGCAGCCGCGGUAAUACGGAGGAUCCGAGCGUUAUCCGGAUUUAUUGGGUUUAAAGGGUGCGUAGGUGGUUUGAUAAGUCAGCGGUGAAAGUUUGCAGCUUAACUGUAAAAAUGCCGUUGAAGCUGUCGGACUUGAGUGUAAAUGAGGUAGGCGGAAUGCGUGAUGUAGCGGUGAAAUGCAUAGAUAUCACGCAGAACUCCGAUUGCGAAGGCAGCUCACAAAGCCAUCAUUGACGCUGAGGCACGAAAGUGUGGGGAUCAAACAGGAUUAGAAACCCCAGUAGUCC